UGUCAAAGGACGUGUCGGGCGGUGUAUCGCCCGUUCCCGCGCGGUUCCUGGAGGAUAUCCGACGGGCACUUCGGCCAGCAGCCGACCAGCGCAGGCGCCGCUGCCUCCUCAGGGAAGGCGCCUGCUCCCGCGUGGCCUCUCCCGGGGUUUCGGGGCUGCCCCGGAGCUAUUAAAGCCGCUCCUAAACCCGCUGUGGGCGGGUAGCAGGGCUCACAGGUGGAGCCCGCCCUGAGGUGCAGGGGAAUGGGGCGAUCAGUGCUUGCUGUGGCCUCGGGGGUGGGGGGUUAAAAAUAACGGGGCACGGGUAGCCUGAAUCCUCGCUGGGUGCUUGCAGGUCACCCACCCACCAGGAUCCUCCUCCCCUUUCAUCACCACCCAGGGAUUCUCAGCAGUGGCCCCUCUUUGCUGUCUUUUGGAUCUGAAAUACAAGGGCUCAUGAUGUCUCUCCAGAUGGCAGUUGCCCCAUUCUUUGCAGAGAAGUGGAUGCAAUGUAGAAAGAGCCUGUCCUUCACUGGUUCUUAGAGACGUAUGAAUCACUUAGCUCAGAGAGGAUAAGUUGAGUCAGAAUACAGGAAGCUAUCUGUAAUGAGUGCCCAUGCUCACCUGGUUUUCUUCCAGAUGCCUCUCAAUAACCCAUGUGCUCUCUUCUCUGAUGUCCCACAGGUGUAACAUCAAGGUUGCAUAGCCUCCCACCCCCUUCUCUUUCCUUUCACUAUCUUCCAGACCUGCCUUCCAGUACAAGUUUGGCAGUAUCCUGAAAUUCAGAUCCUGUCCAGAGCAUCUGGGAUGUUUGGUUUGAGCUACCAUUGUCUGUAAGACACUUAUUUUCCAACUAUGUUUUCUCUGAUACGCAAUGAAAUGCUGGACCUUCAUGGAUGUGUACGGCUAGCUCCGGAGUCCUGUCUGCAACAAACUACGACAGAUGUGGCAGAACGAGUUACUGUCUUUGUAUUAUAGGGAGUUUCUUAAGAUGAAGUUGAUACCUUCUGGAGAAAAUCACCAAGGUUUUGGGAAAUCACUGUAUGACAAGUUAGCUUUCCCUGUCACUUCUCAGGGGUCAGGUGUUUGACAACAGAACUGGUACCACAAAGCAUUUUUGGUUUUAAUGGCCUGGACAAGUUUGAUGAGGAAUCUUCUUGGGAGUCUGUCAGUACUAAGCAUUCAUUCUGCUUUGAAAUACGGGGGUGGAGAAAUUGCAAGUUCAUAUUCCCACUGUGACAAAACCCCUCUCCGGAGUGAAGUGGUGGUGGUUUCUUGAGGGGAACAGCUAUGUAUUUUAGUCAUGGGUAAUAUUAUCUGAUUUUCCUGAUAAUACCCAGAAGCUAUCACCAGAGAUCACCACCCCACUGGGCCUCUGCAAUGAGUGCCCACCCUCCCUUGUUCUUGUGCUAUGCAGUCCAAGAGGUUGGCAUUAUGAUCCUCACUAGUUAUAUCUAUAGCAGUAAAUUAAACAACUCCUCGACAGGUUUAUGAGCACACGGUAUGGGUAGAGUUUUGGACCAGGUCAGCUGGAAGUCCCAAAUAAUCUUUGGACUUGGCUCAGGAGUUAGGACAGACCAUUCCCACUAAGUGGUCUGGAUAUGACCACCCUACUCUGAAGGCUGAAGGAGUUUGGUACCACAGACCUGGCCAGACAGAGCCUUAGAGCCGAGGAUGGAGUCAGCAUUUACCUCACGGUCACAAGCAGAUUUGCUUUUCAUGCAAUACCAACCUGUACUGGUCUGCAGAGGCCUCGUGAGCAAGUCUCCUCACAACUGGCACAUCCCCAGUGCCUGUAGGUAAGAGUCGCCACUGCAUGACAGACCUGGGUCCGUAGGACACCUUGCAUAGCCUGCUUCAUUCUUGGGCUUUCUCUAUGAAGUGAUGGAUCAAGGAGGCAGUUAUUAACUGGACUAAAUGUGCUUGGGUUCAGCAGGGGUUGGGUGAGGGACUCAAUAGGAGGCACAAACUGAAGCCAAAAAAUGGGAGCAGAGAAACCAAAGCACAGCUCAUCAUCAUGAGGAGAGACAUGUCCCUCCAUGUGUGUGGUGGGUUUAUGCACCAUCCUGGGCAGGGCUGCGGAGGAGCAGGAGGUGACCAAGGAGGUAAAUGAAGAAAAUCAGGAAUAGGAGUUGAAUUUGGGGGGUUUGGUGGAGGAGACAGUCAACCCUUACUUACAGAUUGAGUGAGUGGGGAUGAGGAGCGACAGGACAGGUAUCAGACAUGCAGUCUCUCUGAGUAGGCUUCCCUGGGAGUCUCAGUGCAGGGACCACACCACUGCCAGAGGAUGCAAACUGCUUCCCUUGCAGUGGUGCACCCGGGAGAUAACCUGGAAGCGUUUAAAAAACAUGUAGAUGCGGCGCUUAGGGACAUGCGUUAGUGGUGGGCUUGGCAGUGCUGGGUUAAUGGUUGGACCUGGUGAUUUUAAAGGCCUUUUCCAACCUAAAUGAUUCUAUGGUGUGGUUGUGCCAUCCCUUGUCUGGGGACUCCAUAGGCAAGUUAUGUCACCUAGAAACAGCAGCAAUUAGCUUUCCAGCUGCAUGGUAGCUUACUCUAACCCUGGACCACCCUUCCCCCAAGGUCUUCUGCUCUCUCAGGCUAACUCAACCUGUGGUUUGACCCAGCGCCCAUUCGGUUUUCCUGGAGCAUCCUGCUAAAGACACACUCUUGCUCUGGUUGAAAAGAAACUCAGGAUUGCCAGGAUCUGAAAUGUUGCAGAUCUGCUUUGGUUUUGUAGGCUCUGUGUCCAGUGUGGAGUAGAAAGGAAAGAAUAAAAAGACACAGCACACUGCAAACAUGUUAUUAAAAUGAACUGUUUAUAUUAUCUCAGUUGAGUCAAUACAUUAUAAUGUAUUAAAAUGGAAAGGUACAAAAUUGAAAUAAAUACUUUCUGAUUCAUGUAUAAAUCUUUUGUCAAGAUGACAUUUUGUUUGUUUUUUCAUCAGUACAUGUUUCAAUAAAACA